rnacentral:rRNA from 1 species
CUUUAGAGAUAGAGGAGUGCUCGAAAGAGAGCCAUAACACAGGUGCUGCAUGGCUGUCGUCAGCUCGUGUCGUGAGAUGUUGGGUUAAGUCCCGCAACGAGCGCAACCCUUGCCAUUAGUUGCUACGAAAGGGCACUCUAAUGGGACUGCCGGUGACAAACCGGAGGAAGGUGGGGAUGACGUCAAGUCCUCAUGGCCCUUAUAGGUGGGGCUACACACGUCAUACAAUGGCUGGUACAGAGGGUUGCCAACCCGCGAGGGGGAGCCAAUCCCAUAAAGCCAGUCGUAGUCCGGAUCGCAGUCUGCAACUCGACUGCGUGAAGUCGGAAUCGCUAGUAAUCGCGGAUCAGAAUGUCGCGGUGAAUACGUUCCCGGGUCUUGUACACACCGCCCGUCACACCAUGGAAGCGGGUUCUGCCAGAAGUAGUUAGCCUAACCGCAAGGAGGGCGAUUACCACGGCAGGGUUCGUGACUGGGGUGAAGUCGUAACAAGGUAAAUCUCUGGAA